rnacentral:lncRNA from 1 species
CACCUCUCAAAUAAAUAAAUAAAAUAUUAAAAAAAAUAUAUUAGCAGUGGUGGCAUUGCUAGUUGGCCUGUCGCUGGCUGAGAUGUCCACACUCCACAUCGGAGGUCCUGGAUGCAUUUCCUGCUCUGGCUCCUGACUCCAGCACACUGUUAAUGCAGCCCCGCCCCCCGGGGGAGGGGCAGCUGUGGCGGCUCAAGAAGUAGGGCUUCUGCCACCUCCAUGGGACACCUGGAUGAACUCCCGGCUCCUGGAUUUGGCCAAGCCUAAUCCCAUUCUGUUUACUAUGGGCAUUUGGGGAGUGUACAGGAGUGUGUAGUCUCUCUCUCCCUCUCUCUCUCUCUUCUCUCUUUCUUCUUCUUGUAUAAUAAUUUGUCUUUAAAAGCUGAAAAUGAAAAGCUACUGGGUACCUCCUGGGUCGGGUCUUUUGCACACGUGGGUGUAUUCCAUCCCGGCAGAACCUCUGAGGCCUUCGCCGAGACCCCCGCUCUCCAGGCGAGCAAAUGCAGGCUCAGAGGACGCGCCACCUGCCGCUGGGCAGCCCCGGACACCAGGCCAGCCCUGCUCCCUGUCCCGUCUCCAUCUGCCUUGUUGCGCCUGGGGCCUGUUUGGUUCUGGCCUGGCUUCUCAGCCUUGGCCUUGUCCGGUCCUGGCCCCGCCCCUCCCUGUCUGAACACAGCAAGGUGGGAUUUCCUCCAGGGACCUCGCAAUCAAGGCCGCCGGCUUGCCGGGCUGCAGCCCAAGGCCUGCUAUAAACUCUGCCAUGAAUGGCCGCCAUUCUCUGCCCCAACUCCAGCUCCAGCUCACCGCCGCCCCGCAGCCCGGGAAGGGAGACCUCAGCCUCCUCCAGGCCUGUAAACACCAGAGCCACACACACAGCGAGGCCACAGCCGCCAAUGAAUCCUGGCCCCAGGGUUCUCUUAAAGGAGCAGAGCCCAGUGGCGACAAGGGGCCAGGGCCUGCAUGGAGAGCAGCAGCGGGACUCACAACCCUCUCCCCAGGCUCCCAGCAGGAAGGAGGAUGAAGCCACGCCCACCCCAGGAGCGUCUCCAGGAGCACCAGAGUCACCGAGGUGCAGAGGGAAGAAGCAAGCCCUCAAGCUGGCUCCAAAGCCAUGGCAUGCUGCACCAAACGCCCCGUUCACUGAGUGGCUCCCAAGUCCCUUCCCCAAGGCGGGAGGUGCCGAGCCUUGGGGAGCUUGGGUUUUCUGUCUCCGUGGGUCUUUCAGUGUUUAUGCCCUGGGCAGCACCUGCUCACAGGGGCCUUCCUGGAGGGCGUGA